rnacentral:lncRNA from 1 species
UGGAGGUGGUGGUGUUCUUUGAUUCCCUUGGCCUCCCCAUGAGAAAUUUGGGUGGUUCCUCAAUCCUGCAUUGUAAGUGUUGCUAUAGGGAUUAUUUUGAGGUCGAGGAUUGUUACCCAUAUAAUUUAAUUGCUCAAUUUUCAUGAUGUGGUCAUAAGAUGGGUAUUCUGAAUUGCUCGUCCCUCCUCUACUAGCAUUGCAUUGUAUUACUGGG